rnacentral:rRNA from 1 species
ACUCAAAUGAAUUGACGGGGGCUCACACAAGCGGUGGAGCAUGUGGCUUAAUUCGAGGCUACGCGAAGAACCUUAUCCUAGGCUUGACAUGUUCGAAAGAGGUAGGAAGUAGCGUGCGGAAACGUUACGCCAACGGUAUCCAAUCCGGAACCUACUACAGGUGCUGCAUGGCUGUCGUCAGCUCGUGUCGUGAGAUGUCGGGUUAAGUCCCAUAACGAGCGCAACCCUUGUUUCCAGUUGCCAGCGGGUCAUGCCGGGGACUCUGGAAAGACUGCCGGUGUCAAACCGGAGGAAGGUGGGGAUGACGUCAAGUCCUCAUGGCCUUUAUGCCUAGGGCCGCACACGUGCUACAAUGGCGUGAACAAAGGGACGCAAACCCGCGAGGGGGAGCUAAUCCCAGAAAACACGCCCCAGUUCAGAUCGUAGGCUGCAACUCGCCUACGUGAAGUUGGAAUCGCUAGUAAUCGCGGGUCAGCUACACCGCGGUGAAUUUGUUCCUGAGCCUUGUACACACCGCCCGU